rnacentral:rRNA from 1 species
GCUAGUAAUCGCGCAUCAGCCACGGCGCGGUGAAUACGUUCCCGGGCCUUGUACACACCGCCCGUCAAGCCAUGGAAGCCGGGGGUGCCUGAAGUGCGCUGCCGCAAGGAGCGUCCUAGGGUAAAACCGGUGACUGGGGCUAAGUCGUAACAAGGUAAC